AAUGAGUUUUAACAUACGAAACCGAGGCCGCCUAUUUCGCAGUGUAUUUACCUUUGCGUUCAUGUGCUGACAUCGACUGCAUUCUUAGAAUCAUUUUGCAAAUCUAAUAUGUAGAAUGAUUGAAGAAAGUCCAAUGAAAAUUGUACUCUGAUACAUAUUUCACAUUUUGUAUUCAUGAACUUUAACCUUGCGACAGUCAGCCAGUCUCUUCUUAGAGUUCAUAACCUAAAAAGACGGAUUAGUUAUAGAAGAUCCGAGUCACGUUUUCUUAGUUGGACAUUACCUAAGACGGAGGAAAAACGCGCUUUUACCUAGAAAGGAUGUAUUUACAUUGGGAUCCAGUACAGUCUCCCGAGUCUACUACAAUCUUUUUCCAUUAGGACAUUCAUCGUGUUGGCUGGGAAUUGAUUCAGUCGCGGUAACACAAUUCUUGAUCCAGUUACUACGUAGAUCCGAUCUACACGAGGCUCCCCUUGACCUCCGAUCGGAAAAUUCCAAUUUCUUAUAUGCAUCAGAAGAGACGUUGAUUUACAGCGCGUGAACAUUUUCCUCGCACUGCGAACGCGAUUCCUCGUGGACAGCAAAACGUGAGGCGAUGCGAAAGGCGCAAAAUAUUUUUAACAGUUUACGUAAUUACGCACGUAUCGCGCACGUUGGAUUCUCGUGCAGUCAACACAUUUUUCGAAAGAUUCUUUCGUCGAGGCAUCAAUGAUAUUGUUACCGUUGUUAUUUCUCGCGGUUGAUUAGUCCCUGUGACUAACAGGUCAUAUUUCUAUUUCGCUUUUAAUCGCUAAUUCACAACAUAUGGUUUUACCCUGUUUCGCAGAAAAAUUCUCGGGUCUCGUGUCUAAUCACAUUCUUAUUAAUUUGAACUCGUACAUAUUUACGGACUGCAGUGCGAUUAAAGAUACGGUACGGCAUUUAACAUACAAUAUGUAUUAUUUAUUGAAAAAUUUAUGAUUGAAAAUUAUCCCUGCACUAGACAUUGUAAAUCUAUCAUUUAUGUACGUUGCGUCAUUCUUUCAUAUCAAAUACUAUGUUUUCAAAUGUAAAAUAUUUAUUUUCCUUUUUUUACAUAUUAUGGAACAAUGUGUCAUUGCUGGUUAAGCACAAUUAAUUACGUCGUUGUGUAAUAUUAAAAUUGGAUAAAUUCAUGUAACGAUAGUUUCGGAACACGUCACGCGAGGGCAGCACCAUCCAGCAACCGACUAAUGGUUCCCAUUCAUAUUCAUCUACAUGUAUCGACAGCAGAUCACAGAUGACAUGUACUAAGUAACCCGGACAAUUUUAACUUCCUUAUAUUUUAUUCGUAAUAAUCGUUUAGUGGCGAUCGAUAGUCUGAUCAGAAGGAAGAGGGUAAAUCGAUGCUGAGGAGUUUCCAAAGGGCAAACGAGACGUAUAAGGCAGACAUGAGUAGGAACAAGCACAACGCUAAGGUUUUAGGCGAUACCAAAAUCAUAGCAACGAGUCUGGAAAUAGGAUUUUGUGAUCAUCGCCUCCGUCGACAAUGCGAAUUCCGUCGUAGCCGAGCUAAACGUGAACACGAACGCGUAGCUUGACGGGCAGAGAUUCUUCGCUACUCACCGCUGUGUGCGACAGCCACAGCACUCGGGGGUUUCCCAUAAUAAAAAAAAAAACACAGUCCCCUAUGGGGCCUCGGAGGGGUCGUAGCUCCCUUCAGGAGAGGCAGGACCUCACGGAAAUGGGCGGGGAGGGGCCCAUUUCGCUCCCUUAUACUUCCAACUUUUCCCACUCUUCUCUUUUAUCGCUCCUCCACAAUAAUCUGGUCUUCGUGCAUACGCUUUACGCAUCUUCUUCUCCUCUUGUUCCCUCAGUCAUAACCAUCUUUCUUCUUCACUCUUUCUUUUUAACAAUCUUCGUCUUUUCCCAUUCAACAACAUCUUCUCUGUCUGCUGCCACCAAAC